rnacentral:piRNA from 1 species
UAGGCACACCAGACACUCCAAGGUUGUCU